rnacentral:rRNA from 1 species
UUAGUGGCGAACGGGUGAGUAACACGUGAGUAACCUGCCCUUGACUCUGGGAUAAGCGUUGGAAACGACGUCUAAUACCGGAUACGACCUUCGGAGGCAUCUCCUGGGGGUGGAAAGAAUUUUGGUCAAGGAUGGACUCGCGGCCUAUCAGGUAGUUGGUGAGGUAAUGGCUCACCAAGCCGACGACGGGUAGCCGGCCUGAGAGGGUGACCGGCCACACUGGGACUGAGACACGGCCCAG